GCUUACGGCCACACCGCCUGGUUCACGCCCGAUCUCGAAGCUAACAUAGGUUGGGCCUGGUUAGUACUUGGAUGGGAGACCGCCUGGGAAUACCAGGUGCUGUAAGCU
rnacentral:rRNA from 1 species